rnacentral:lncRNA from 1 species
AGGCAUGGCUUGGGGGGCUUGGGCAGUAUCGAGGCAUGAGGAGUCCAACACUGGCACAUUGUUUGGAAGGAGUCAGUCAGCCAUUUGGAGAUAGUCACCACAGACCAGGACCUGUCAAGAAUGAUUGAGGGAAUAUGAUGACAUGUGAUUCUUCUCAUGUUGACUGACUGCCAAAUCCUAGCAAGGAAGUCAUUGCACAAUGGCUGGCACUGCAACCUUCAGACUGGUCAUGAUCCUGGUGUUUGUCCAAACUUAACCCCAACUAAGCAGACGAUCCUCAUGUUUGUCCAAACUCAACUCCAGAAGCCUCUCAUUCCU